GACGAACGCUGGCGGCGUGCCUAAUACAGGCAAGUAGAACGCUGAAGAGAGGAGCUUGCUCUUCUUGGAUGAGUUGCGAACGGGUGAGUAACGCGUAGGUAACCUGCCUUGUAGCGGGGGAUAACUAUUGGAAACGAUAGCUAAUACCGCAUAACAAUGUAUGACACAUGUCAUUUAUUUGAAAGGGGCAAUUGCUCCACUACAAGAUGGACCUGCGUUGUAUUAGCUAGUAGGUGAGGUAACGGCUCACCUAGGCGACGAUACAUAGCCGACCUGAGAGGGUGCUCGGCCGCUCUGGGACUGCGACACGGCCCAGACUCCUACGGGAGGCAGCAGUAGGGCAUCUUCGGCGAUGGGGGCAACCCUGACCGAGCAACGCCGCGUGAGUGCAGAAGGUUUUCGGAUCGUAAAGCUCUGUUGUAAGUCAAGAGCGAGUGUGAGAGUGGAAAGUUCACACUGUGACGGUAGCUUACCAGAAAGGGACGGCUAACUACGUG
rnacentral:rRNA from 1 species